rnacentral:rRNA from 1 species
GGGCUAAACCAUGCACCGAAGCUGCGGCAGCGACACUUAGGUGUUGUUGGGUAGGGGAGCGUUCUGUAAGCCGUUGAAGGUGAUCUGUGAGGGUUGCUGGAGGUAUCAGAAGUGCGAAUGCUGACAUAAGUAACGAUAAUGCGGGUGAAAAACCCGCACGCCGGAAGACCAAGGGUUCCUGUCCAACGUUAAUCGGGGCAGGGUGAGUCGACCCCUAAGGCGAGGCUGAAAAGCGUAGUCGAUGGGAAACAGGUUAAUAUUCCUGUACUUGGUGUUACUGCGAAGGGGGGACGGAGAAGGCUAGGCUAGCCGGGCGACGGUUGUCCCGGUUUAAGCAUGUAGGCGGAGCGACUUGGUAAAUCCGGUUGCUUAUCAACGCUGAGGUGUGAUGACGAGCCACUACGGUGGUGAAGUAGUUGAUGCCAAGCUUCCAGGAAAAGCCUCUAAGCAUCAGGUAAC